AAAAUACAGUCAUACACAUACACAACAUUAUUAAUAAAUCUAAUCCACUCAUCGGUUGGGAUUAGGAUUAAGCUUGGAUAGUAGAGGGCAACCCCUUGAAUCACAGCAGGAAGGUGUAGUUUUAGUAACCUGGUUCAAAAAGUUGCGUGUAUGGAACCCGUGGACCGUUGCCAUGGUUGGGAGCUUGAAACACACUGAAAGCUUUUCCGGACGAAGAAGCUGUUUUUGAACCCUGCCCAGCUGUAAUCUGUAUGCCGAUUGGAGUAUUUAUGCCGGCAUGAUGUUGGAUGGGAGAAAACGCAAGUGUCGCAGUAAGCUCCAGCUGGGAAUGAGAUACUGCCAAUAAG
rnacentral:sRNA from 2 species